rnacentral:rRNA from 1 species
UUCCAGACUCCUACGGGAGGCAGCAGUGGGGAAUAUUGGGCAAUGGGCGCAAGCCUGACCCAGCAACGCCGCGUGAAGGAAGAAGGCUUUCGGGUUGUAAACUUCUUUUGACAGGGAAGAGCAGAAGACGGUACCUGUCGAAUAAGCCACGGCUAACUACGUGCCAGCAGCCGCGGUAAUACGUAGGCGGCAAGCGUUAUCCGGAUUUACUGGGUGUAAAGGGAGCGUAGGCGGUGCAGCAAGUCAGAAGUGAAAGCCCGGGGCUCAACUCCGGGACUGCUUUUGAAACUGUUGAACUAGAUUGCAGGAGAGGUAAGUGGAAUUCCUAGUGUAGCGGUGAAAUGCGUAGAUAUUAGGAGGAACACCAGUGGCGAAGGCGGCUUACUGGACUGUAAAUGACGCUGAGGCUCGAAAGCGUGGGGAGCAAACAGGAUUAGAUACCCGCGUAC